rnacentral:rRNA from 1 species
UACGUAGGGGGCGAGCGUUGUCCGGAUUUAUUGGGCGUAAAGAGCGUGUAGGCGGCCAGGUAGGUCUGCUGUGAAAACUCGAGGCUCAACCUCGAGACGUCGGCGGAAACCAUCUGGCUAGAGUCCGGAAGAGGAGAGUGGAAUUCCUGGUGUAGCGGUGAAAUGCGCAGAUAUCAGGAAGAACACCCGUGGCUAAGGCGGUUCUCUAGUACGGUACUGACGCUGAGACGCGAAAGCGUGGGGAGCGAACAGG